GACGGGGGAUGCAAGUGUUAUCCGGAAUAAUUGGGCGUAAAGCGUCUGUAGGUGGUUUACCAAGUCUGUUGUUAAAAAUCAGGGCUUAACCCUGAUCCGGCAACAGAAACUAGUAGGCUGGAGUACGGUAGGGGCAGAGGGAAUUCUCGGUGUAGUGGUGAAAUACGUAGAUAUCGAGAAGAACACCAAUAGCGAAAAGCACUCUGCUGGGCCGAAACUGACAUUGAGAGACGAAAAGCUAGGGGAGCGAAAGGGAUUAGAAACCCCAGGAUACGUACCGAGAACCAACGAUCUCUUCGC
rnacentral:rRNA from 1 species